UCCAGCAGCCAUAUCACCCUGCAACUCACACCUGGCAGCCCACUGAAGCCCAGCAGGUGUGAGCCUGGCAGUACCUGGAUGGGAGACCUACUGGGAAAAACUAAGGUUGCUGCUGGAA
rnacentral:rRNA from 1 species